ACCACCCGAAGGACCCACGACCUUGCCGCCCAUCACCACCUCCAGGGCGCCGCCACCACCGGUCCCCGUCCAUCUGUCGGGCGCCGCCCCCGCCGGCCCCCACCCAUCCGCCGCGCGCCGCCCCCGCCCUUUCGCUCCGCGCCGCCCAUGCCCGCCGCUGCGCCCACCCUUACCCGAUGUGCCCCACGCCCCUGCGGCUUUCCACCGCCAGCGUUGCACCUUCCCUAACUCCUCUCUCUCCUUCUCCUCUACCGUCGCCGCUCUCCAUCGGCCGACCAACUCCCAUGAGUCAUCGCCUCUCGAUCCUCCUCCUCUGUGUGUGUGUGCUCGAUCCGGAUCCACCCCUUUCCUGGAUGCAGCCUAGAUGAGAACUCCACUUUCCUGGGUGCAGCAUAGAGGAGAGGAUGGGCACGGCAAACGGAACUUGAACGCCGGAUGGAUGGAUACCGGCGCUGCCGGGCGCAGACAUCAUUCUCCUCCUGGCCGAGCUCCUCCACAACACCCCGUCUGCAACCCAUGUUUGAUGUGCCGCAGGCUGGAUGGGGACGCGUGGACCUCCUGCUCCUCCCGACCAAGCUUGAUUGUGUGUGCGACCUGCUGACGGCGCUCGGGGUGAUGGUGGCUUAACGACGCAUCUUCUCCUGUUGUCCCCAUGCUCUCUGCCCUUAUUUUGUCAACUUAUCUCUCUGAUUCUUCUUUGGCUACAUGCGUAGGCGUUUGAGGUAGGAUAGCAGGAGCGGUGACUAGCAUCAAGGAGGGGCAGCAAGAAGCAGCGACAACUAGCUAGCUGCUAGCAUGCGCCCCUCUCUCUCAUGUACAUGAAUUUGUAAUGGGCAAAGUACUUUCUGGGUUCUUUCUUUAGUGUGAACCAUCUUCUGCUAUUCAUGAGCAUCCACCCAUAACCUGUUUGAUGUUAUGCGUACAACAGACUGAGACACAUUUUAAUUUUCUGGUCAAACUCUUACCUCUAUUUAGAAAAUGAAAAUGAAGAAGCAUGUGUAUCUGAUGUCGGAUCUGCACCUUAAACAAGUGUACCUGAUGUUCCAAGCUUACAAUGCGAUCUACACUGAAGCCAAUCCGAGCCAGUACCAUUCCAGAGCUCAAGGCAUCAGGUACGCUUUACACAUAGUCUCGCUCAGUUUAGUUUCCAUGUAGUGUUAAAUUCUGAUGAGCUAUACUCAUUACAAACAGUAAGCUAAAGCAGAUUAAAAAAAGAUGAUAGAUUUGCUCAAUCCAUGUUCAGUUGCUAAACUGACCAAGAGCUGCACUUCAAAGAGCCAAAUGUUCAAUAUAAAUCAGCCAUAACUUUGUCAGUUUUUCAUAACUGUUCAAUAUCUGAUUUUUGUGAUCUGGAAAACAUUACUGGUUAUUUCAUAGUAAGAUUGUAGAGUUGUUAUCCCUCUGUUUUGCUUAUCUAUUCACUUGCUUAUUGUAAAUAAAUAGUUAAAUAGUCGGGAGUUGUAAUUUCAAGGAAAGAAACAGGAAGCUCUUUGAGGUCUCUGCUAUCACACCUGUACGGGCAGUUCAUGGGUACAUUUGUUGGUGUUCUGUUCGGAUCAGUGGAGAUUGAUCUUUCAGUCACCAUGCCAAUCCAUGUCUAGCCUGUUUAGUCACAUUGAGCUCUUCCAACUUUUAUCAAGCUGUUCCAAGCAUCAUAUUUGAAAUAGCUUAUGUUUUAUAGGUAUAGACCUACAAGUUUGUUGCUGAAUAUGACUAUCAAUUUGUUAACAGUCUGUACAACAUCAACGUACAUUUUAGUUACAGAUUUGGAAAAUUAUUGUGAUUUA